ensembl:lncRNA
CACACACACACACACACACACACCCCACCCCAGCAUAGAGACUGCCUGUAAACCAAGAGAAAAAGCCUUUGAGAGACACCUUUGCUGGCACAGCACCUAUUUCCCAGCCUCCAGAACCAUAAGAAAUAAGUUUCUAUUGUGUAAGUCACCUAGUAUAUGGUAUGUACUUUGUUAUGGCAGCCUCAGCAGACUAAGACAUAUUAUGGCUAUGAAAACUCCUAGGACUAAUCUAGUUCAGACACAGAUGGACUCGGGGGCUCAAAUACUAACACAAUACUGGCUCUUGCGCUCUCACUCUCUCUCGCCCUCCCUCUAUCCCUUCCUGGCCACUCUUGUUCUGCUUUCCCCUGCAUGGACUUUAUUCUCAAUUCAGCACCCUCUGUGUGUUCCCAGCCCUCAGGCUGACCUAACAGCUCUUGGUCACUAGCCAGUCCUAGUGAUUUGGGCGCAUGAUCCCAAUGAAAUCCCAGUGAGAAGAAUGCGUCUCUCUUCACCCACAGCUGUAACAAAAGGGUUGCAAUCAAGUCCUGCUAGGCUUGCUGGGGUCAGAUACUACCCCCGCCACAAUCACUAUGAAUUGGCUAAACCUGAGUUACCUAUCUUCCCCCGGAGCUCACAGCCUCGGGUCCGCCCCCUUUGAACUCUGCGGGCUGUACCUGGAGGAGCCUGAGGGCCCAGGAGGAAAUCAAGAUGGCCGCACGAGGCGAGCGGAGGGACGCAGACGAGCAAUGCCAGAAGUCCACCACCGGUUGUGGCGUGUGCUGCUGCUGUUGCUGCUAAGUCGCUUCAGUCGUGUCCCCGACUCUGUGCGACCCCAUAGACGGCAGCCCACCAGGCUCCUCCAUCCCUGGGAUUCUCCAGGAGGAGGAUUGUUUGCAAGAGACCCAGGUUCAAUCCCUGGGUCAGGAACAUCCUCUGGAAAAGGGAAUGGCAGUCCACUCCAGUAUUCUUGCCUGGAGAAUCCCCAUGGACAGAGGAGCCCAGCAGGCUACAGCCCAUGGGAUCACAAACAGCCGGACACGACUGAGCAA